GCCGAGCUGAGUAGCGCCAGCUUGUGACCCAAGUGGGGGCACAAAGGUGAUGGAACAUGACUUUGGCUUAACAGGUUGGACUGGUGUGUGCACCAUGCUGGCUUGCCCGCUCCAAGUUGAGAGUUGAGCUAUGGGACUUGAGCAAAGGCAUGAGUCUUGUGGAUCUUAGACAGGAGGGUACUGCGUGAGGCUGGUUUCACAGAGCAGCGAACACCUCCUACUCCUAACAGUGGAGGGAUUACAGGCUGCUGCACUUCCAGCCCACUACACCUGGUGAGCCUAGCCCUUGAACCAUCAUUUUU
rnacentral:SRP_RNA from 1 species